rnacentral:rRNA from 1 species
AACGCACCCGAAACUAUUGGAUAGCUCGUCGAAAGACGGGGUAAUACGGUAUGUGAACGCAAGUUCAAAGUCGCAAGACGGUUCUGGAACGGCCCUAUUCCCAUCAGCUAGUUGGUAGGGUAAUGGCCUACCAAGGCGACGACGGGUAGGGGGUGUGAGAGCACGACCCCCCACAAUGGCACUGAGACACGGGCCAUACAUCUACGGAUGGCAGCAACUGGGAAUAUUCGGCAAUGGGCGAAAGCCUGACCGAGCGACACCGCGUGAGGGAUGAAGUAUCUCGGUAUGUAAACCUCUUUUAUAUAGCCGUCGAGGCUAUAAGAAUAAGCACCUACAAACUACGUGCCAGCAGUCGCGGUAAUACGUAGGGUGCAAGCGUUAUCCGGAUUCACUGGGCGUAAAGAGUCGUGUAGGUGGUAGACCACAU